UGAGUAACACGUGGGCAACCUGCCUGUAAGACUGGGAUAACACCGGGAAACCGGUGCUAAUACCGGAUAAUCCUUUUCCUCUCAUGAGGAAAAGCUGAAAGUCGGUUUCGGCUGACACUUACAGAUGGGCCCGCGGCGCAUUAGCUAGUUGGUGAGGUAACGGCUCACCAAGGCGACGAUGCGUAGCCGACCUGAGAGGGUGAUCGGCCACACUGGGACUGAGACACGGCCCAGACUCCUACGGGAGGCAGCAGUAGGGAAUCUUCCACAAUGGACGAAAGUCUGAUGGAGCAACGCCGCGUGAGCGAUGAAGGCCUUCGGGUCGUAAAGCUCUGUUGUUAGGGAAGAACAAGUACCGGAGUAACUGCCGGUACCUUGACGGUACCUAACCAGAAAGCCACGGCUAACUACGUGCCAGCAGCCGCGGUAAUACGUAGGUGGCAAGCGUUGUCCGGAAUUAUUGGGCGUAAAGCGCGCGCAGGCGGUCCUUUAAGUCUGAUGUGAAAGCCCACGGCUCAACCGUGGAGGGUCAUUGGAAACUGGGGGACUUGAGUGCAGAAGAGGAAAGCGGAAUUCCACGUGUAGCGGUGAAAUGCGUAGAGAUGUGGAGGAACACCAGUGGCGAAGGCGGCUUUCUGGUCUGUAACUGACGCUGAGGCGCG
rnacentral:rRNA from 1 species